ensembl:lncRNA
GGAAGAUAAGAUUCAUAAAAGGUAAAUAUACAGAUUGCCAGCUGUAAAAGCACAUAUUGAGUACACCUGAAAGCAAUUUGCCCAGAUAAAGCUUUUGGGAUCUCACUUUUGGCUUUCUACAAGAGGGGAUUUAAUGCCUAGAGCCUGAUUCUGAACAUGGGAACAUUGUGUAUGAUCAGUACAAUUCAGGAAGAGUUUGAACUAGAAAAGGCAUAGAGUUCCUGCCUUCAACCCUCCUGGAGAUCUCUAAGCUGCUGGGAUGCCAGGAAAAGCCACAAUAUGAGGUGUACCACCAUCUGGGAUGUUGUCACGUACUUACUCUACAACCAUAAUCCACUAGGAUCUUCAGUUCAGCAGAUCAAAGCCAGGAAGAUUGUUGGGCCAUCUUUCUCUUGAACUGCAAUUAUUGCAUGGAUAACACUAAAGAGAUAAUUAACAUGGUUGCUUAUUAAAUGUGCAGGAGCUGUGUUCCAGCGCGACGUAUCACACAGUCUGCCAGAUGCUGUCCUUAGGAGCGAGGCAAAUCUGCAACUCACAGGAAAAGAGUUAAUUUUCCAAAAUAGCUUUGCUUUUCAGAGCUUAGAUACAUUUAAAUUAAAAUGAAGCCAGCGAAUGCCCAUAAAGAGCCAAAUGAGUUAAAAGCUUGCAAGUUUUCUGCCUAAUUCCUUCAGUUGAACUGGUCUGGUUUGGUCUGCUGAGUAAGUCCAUUUUUAACAGUGCAUGAUCUGAUGUGGCUGCAAAUGCCCAGGAGGCUGUUCUAGAUGGGGAAAUAUUUUAAAAUCAAUAUACUGUGCCCUUAUCUAUCUCAGGUCUGUUUGGAUCUGUAGUUUAAAAUAAAUUAAGUCAUUAGAAUGUGCAGUAUGGUUAAUGCUAAUGAGCC